AGAGAGAGAGAGAGAGAGAGAGAGAGAGAGAGAGAGAGAGAGAUUGGAGAAAAAACUUUUCCGAACUUCGAAUUCCGCCUUCAGUUGCAGACUCGAGAGUCACCGUGAUCAGUACAGAAGGGACUUUGGAUUGGCUGUAACUGAAGUCACAGGCAGUGGUGAGCUGCAGUACAUGGGUAUGAGGAUCGUCUAGAAGAGCAUCAGGUUCUCGUUGUGUGGCCCUGCUUCAGAGAGGACUCCCACAAAGAGUAAUAGAACAAAUGGACAUUUGCUUUCAUUUUAAACAUCAUAUACUCUGUUUUGAAACAUUUUAGCUUAAAAAUCUUGAAUUUAGUCAGACAGUGGUGGUUCAUUCCUUUAAUUCCAGCAACUGGGAGGCAGAGGCAGGCUGAUCUCUGAGUUUGUGGCCAGCCUGGUCUAUAGAGUAAGUUUCAGGACAGCCAGAGCUACACAAAGAAAUCCUGUCUUGAAACAACAACAAACAAACAAAAACUGAUUGUAACUCAAGAAAACAGCAACUGGAAACACGUCUGACUUAACAUAUUCCAAAACUUUUCCUUAAUUCUUUAAGCAAAUUAACGUACUCAAUCUUUCCAGCGGAACAACAAGCUCCCUACAGUUCUCAUUAAAUGAAGAAACUGAGAAUUAACCCAAUAACUCUGUGUGCCUCACUGCUGUUUGGGCCUGCCACAAAAGUGUGUACCGGCAUCAUAACCCUUUUAAGUCACACACACAGGAGCAUUACAGGGGAUGAAUUCUUUUCCUGGAUGAAAGAAUUUAAACAUUUUCAUAUCAAAGAAAAAUAAAGUGGUGAAGUUUUCAUUAAAGAGCUAGACUGUGUCAGGUAGAAAGCAUGACACUGAUAGGUGACAGGUUUUUUUUUGUGACAAAAUAUAUCUUCUCUAGUGUUUCUCAGAAACACGGACAUACGUGUGUGUGUGUGCGCGUGCGUGCGCGCACAACUGUGUUAUACAGAGAAUGAUGUGGAGUUGAGAGAUGGCUCAGUGGGUAAAGGAUGAGGCUGAAGAUCCAAGUUUGAUCUUCAGAUCCCACAUAAAAAAACAGAUAGGACGGCACGCAUCUUUAGCCGCAGCACUCAUUCGUGGUGACAAAGGGCAGAAAACUGGAGCAUCUAUUUGAAUUUUCAGGCCUGGAUGUCACAGCACAACAAUGACGAGGACAAGUGAGACACAGUAGAAGAUUCCUGAAGUGUAAGAGGUCUCUCCAGAACCAGGAUUCAGCAAUGAAAAGCACCAGGAUUCUGAAGUGGAGAAGAACCAACAACAUUCAGUCGCCUACCCUUACACACUGUCCACCUCAGGUUGGCUCUAGCUGGGAGUUACUUCUGGUUCCUGAAUUCUGACUCUGUCUCCCAAGGUUAAGCGCUCUACCACGGAGUUACAGACUCGGCCCAGAUUUUGCAGAUUUACAACUCAAAAGACACGAAGUAAAACUGCUGUAACACAUGAGCAUGAAAGAGAGCAAUGAUAUAAGAUUGAAAAGGUGAUGAAACCUUUCAAACCUCCAGGCUUUUGUUGAAAGAGAUUAAUAGCGACUCCUCACUUUGGAACGGCAAUAAAAUUGGGAAGUCUCAUCCUGUGCCCCGUUGAAACCAUGUUUCCAGCACAGAUGCCAAAGAAAGUUCAGCCCACCUUCUCAAAUACUCAAUGAUGCCCUGAAACCAGAUACUGCAGACUCUCCAGAGCACCCUUGGGAUCAAUGCUCAGCCAUGCCCUGGAAACAGUCCCACUGGGCUGGGACAGCAGCUCCAUAAUUCAUCAGGCACCAGAUCAAGAUUGAUCCCAGAGAUGCUGACCUGCCUGGCAAGUGUUCCCCAACUGGGGUAUGUUUCUAGCCGCUUAAGAAUGAAUCUGAAGUCCCGGUUAUAAAGCAAUGUGAUCUCCAUCCUUAAAUGGGAGUGGAGGGGAAAACCUUUGGGGAUAAGAUUCUUUCCUUCCAUCCUUCUCUAAGUGACUUCAUCAUUGUUUUGUUGCUGUGAUGAAACACCAUGACUGAGGCCACUUAUAAAAGUAAGCAUUCACUUAGGGGGACGCUUACAGUUUCAGAAAGUUAGCCCGGGAUCAUCAUGGCAGGGAGCAUGGAGCUGUAGCUGUAGCUGGGAGCAAACGCCCCAAGCUGCAGGCAGGAGGCAGAAGGGAAAGCCAGACACCUCAGAGCUCACUCCCAAUGACACCCAUCCUCCAUCAAGGCCGCGACUCUCAAUCCUUCCCAAACAGUCCAUCAACUGGGAACAAGACGUUUAACUACAUGAGCCCAUGGGGGUCAUUCUCACCCAGACCACCACACUAACACUACAGAGAGACGGAGAGACACACAGUAGAGUGCAUGCCCAGACACAUGUGCAUAUAAAGACUGAACUACUGGAAGAGCCGAAGCUGCCACACUGAAUCACUAGAUAGCCCAUGGAAGAGAAGAUUCUGGGCUAACUGCACAUCAAAACCACCUACCUUCAGGGCUCCUCAACUGAAUACGGUAGAAUAAACCCUUGAAUUUACUUUUAAUUUUUCCGUCACCAGAUUUUUGAUUUUCUUUUUUUUUGGCCUUCCAACUACCCAUUUUUCUCCAGUGAUGAAUACUAAGACAGUUUUAAAUCUAUAAGGGUCAGAGUCAAUCCCUGCAUUUGGGCAAGGAACCAUCUCCUUACUUGGCAUUUCAAGUGAGCCAAGUGAAGCCCUGACUCACUUGGAAGUGUCUUGGGAGUUGCACAAAUGUACGCAAGGCAUCUCUAAUUCAUCUUUGGCAUCUCUGCCAUCUAUUUAGAUGCCUCACACACACAGAGUCUGUCUUAGCCCGCGUAGCCCUCCCACGGCACUAGGAAUGUGCCACAGUGCUUGGGUUCAGCACCCAGGCUUAGUGGAAGUACAAAUUUGAUGCAGUUCGACUUUCCUAACCUCCAGUUUACAGUCGAACGCUGCCUUUUUAAUGCUGACAAGGAAAUCAGAUUGGACGACCCUGGGCAUACAGCUUCACAACGUGUGUAAUCCUGGCUUUGCGGCUGAGGGAAGUCGAUGAGAGGAGCAUUGAUCGCCUUGCAAACACAGCUUAAAAACUCUCUGCCAGGGAUUUGGGUAUUCAAGUCACUUGGUGCUAUGACAGGUUUUCAAACCUGGCUCUUACGGAGGGAGCAGCAGCUUUCUAGAUUCACCUUAGCUCUGCUUACAUACGCAUACAAACCGUGUCUUCUAGAUGGAAAAAGCACUCUGUGCCUCCACAGCUCCGCCCGUGUGUUUGCUCAAGGCUGAGUGAAAUGGCCUGCAUGUCAAUGACACGGCGCUGUGUCACCGGGUGAAGAAAGCCCUGCAGAAGGGUGGGAGUAUGAGUCACUUCAGGAAAAUAUUGCCCUCAGCUAGAUGGUUUUGAUGCUCAUCAGAGCUCUUUGGGGCAAUUUGCUCUCGAGUGUAUUCUUUAAUCAAGGAAGCAAAUGUGAUCAAGAAAUUACCUGAAAGUCUCACAAUACAUAAACACGUUAGUGCAGAUACACACAAAAAUGAAAAAUAUUACACCGCCAAAUAUAGUAUGUAUAAAAAUAUGUAUUGCAAUAUUUCAUGCUUGUUAGUGGAAAUAUUUUUACAACGUGUCUCCCAA